UUUGCCCAAGCUCUGAAGCUUGGGACUCAGCAAACCACUUAAGCAUAUCGCAUAUUUGUAGCACGUUUAAGUGUUUUUCUGCAGUAUAAAUAAAUAGAGAACUAUUGAUAGAGUUUAAUUCUAAGUCUCCUAAGUGCCAGGGCAUUUCCUUAAUCAUAAGGCCACCUUGGCUAUAUGUGAUAAACAUUAAUGGAAAUUAAAUAUGUUUAUGUCGGCAAAUUUGUUCAGAUUUUUGUUUUGUUUGUUUUGCAAGCUAACUGCAAGGGAACUAAUUCUAAAAGCAUCUAACUUUUUAUGGAAGAACAUUGUGACUGACAUAUGAAAAGAAAGCAGACAAAGGUGAAUGGUACCUAGAUCAAGACAUCCAGGACAAGACAAAACACACCAGUUUGUUCCCAGAGAGUUUGUUGUUGUUUUUUGAAGGAGCAACCAUGGAAUGAACUGCUGAGAAUGUCCAAGUGUACCUGAGGCAAAGCCCCCAGUAUUGCAAGAGUGCAAAAAGUAGAAAAGCUACUGGAUGGCCCAGGGAACUUCAACAGCGUAGGCAGCUCACCUAAUGGCUAAUUUUUCAUUAGCCAUAAAAUAUAAGUUUUGCCCUAUACCUGUUAAAUAAAGUGUAAAGACCAUCAUUUAUCUUAUAUUUGUUGUAUAUAUUAAAGAUCUGUAUGUUCUUGUGUAAAAUGAAUUUCAUAGAAUC